rnacentral:rRNA from 1 species
CGAACGCUGGCGGCGUGCUUAACACAUGCAAGUCGAGCGGUAAGGCCCUUUCGGGGUACGACGAGCGGCGAACGGGUGAGUAACACGUGGGUGACCUGCCUUUAGCUCUGGGAUAAGCCUGGGAAACUGGGUCUAAUACCGGAUACGACUCCGCGGUGCAUGCUGUGGGGUGGAAAGCCUUGUGCGGCUGGAGAUGGGCCCGCGGCCUAUCAGCUUGUUGGUGGGGUGAUGGCCUACCAAGGCGACGACGGUAGCCGGCCUGAGAGGGCGACCGGCCACACUGGGACGUGAGACACGGCCCAGACUCCUACGGGAGGCAGCAGUGGGGAAGUCUUGCGCAAUGGGCGAAAGCCUGACGCAGCGACGCCGCGUGAGGGAUGACGGCCU